CCUAACACAUGCAAGUCGAACGGUUCUGUUGGSGGCUUGCUCUCGACAGAGUAGUGGCAAACGGGUGAGUAACACGUGGGUAAUCUUCCUUCGAGUGAGGAUAACUUCGGGAAACCGGAGCUAAUACCGCAUAACAUCUUGGGACGGCAGUUCCAUGACAAAGGGGGCGCAAGCUCCCGCUUGAAGUUGAGCUCGCGUCCUAUCAGCUAGUUAGUGAGGUAAUGGCUCACCAAGGCUCCGACGGGUAGCCGGCCUGAGAUGGUGGCCGGCCACACUGGGACUGAGACACGGCCCAGACUCCUACGGGAGGCAGCAGUGGGGAAUAUUGCGCAAUGGACGGAAGUCUGACGCAGCGACGCCGCGUGGGUGAUGAAGGCCUUCGGGUCGUGAAGCCCUGUGAGGGAGAGAAAGCUACUGUCGGUUAAUACCCGGCAGUGGUGAUAGUAUCCCUAGAAAAGCACCGGCUAACUACGUGCCAGCAGCCGCGGUAAUACGUAGGGUGCGAGCGUUGCUAAUUACUGGGCGUAAAGGGAGCGCAGGCGGUUUUGUAUGUCGCAGGUGAAAUACCCCUUAACUGGAGAAACGCCUGCGAAACUGCAGGACUAGAGGACAGGAGAGGUGGACGGACUCGGUGUAGCGGUGAAAUGCGUAGAUAUCGGGAGGAACGCCGAAGGCGAAGGCAAUCCUGAACUGUUCCUGACGCUCAUGCUCGAAAGCUAGGGGAUCAAACGGGAUUAGAUACCCU
rnacentral:rRNA from 1 species